rnacentral:rRNA from 1 species
GAUGAACGCUGGCGGCGUGCCUAAUACAUGCAAGUCGAGCGAAUGGAUUAAGAGCUUGCUCUUAUGAAGUUAGCGGCGGACGGGUGAGUAACACGGGGGUAACCUGCCCAUAAGACUGGGAUAACUCCGGGAAACCGGGGCUAAUACCGGAUAACAUUUUGAACCGACUGGUUCGAAAUUGAAAGGCGGCUUCGGCUGUCACUUAUGGAUGGACCCGCGUCGCAUUAGCUAGUUGGUGAGGUAACGGCUCACCAAGGCAACGAUGCGUAGCCGACCUGAGAGGGUGAUCGGCCACACUGGGACUGAGACACGGCCCAGACUCCUACGGGAGGCAGCAGUAGGGAAUCUUCCGCAAUGGACGAAAGUCUGACGGAGCAACGCCGCGUGAGUGAUGAAGGCUUUCGGGUCGUAAAACUCUGUUGUUAGGGAAGAACAAGUGCUAGUUGAAUAAGCUGGCACCUUGACGGUACCUAACCAGAAAGCCACGGCUAACUACGUGCCAGCAGCCGCGGUAA